CAACCUAUACAGUGAUGUACAGUUGAACCUUGAGAAGUCAGCAGAAGUCAUAGUACCUAUCUAAAUUUAUGAUAGAUAGGGAAGGAC
rfam:Caloranaerobacter azorensis H53214 contig93, whole genome shotgun sequence.